rnacentral:misc_RNA from 1 species
UGUGGAGGCCAGAGGAUGACUUUGU